GUACUCUGGUUUCCCUUCAAAUCACGUAUAAAUCUUUCGCCUUUUACUAAAGAUUUCCGUGGAGGGGAACAAUUGAUGAGUCUAUAAGACAAUUUUUUGUAGUACCCAACGCAAGUUGGGU
rnacentral:snRNA from 1 species